AAGCCACCUGAAGGGACGUUGAAGACGACGACGUUGAUAGGCCGGGUGUGUAAGCGCAGCGAUGCGUUGAGCUAACCGGUACUAAUGACCCGUGAGGCUUAACCUU
rnacentral:rRNA from 1 species